AUCUCAAGACUAAAAUAAAUAUUCAAGAAUUCAAGGGGAAGAAGAGAAGGGUUGGGUUGAGCUCCUUGGUGGUGUUUUCCUUCAAAGUGGUCCCUCAUAAUACUUCCAAAAUUUCCAACUACUUGAGGAUGAGUUUCCUCCCAUCAAAACAAAGCCAAAUUCCUGUAUGUGCCUUUUUUUUCCCCAACUCCUAACAAACCCAACUACAAUGGGCAAUCAGGAGCUGACAAGAUUUAAUCAAUUCGAUGUAGGAAACCUGGUGAUAUCUAUGAUUUAGACCCUUUGUCCAAUCAUUUA
rnacentral:misc_RNA from 1 species